UGGGGGAAUUUUGGACAAUGGGGGAAACCCUGAUCCAGCCAUCCCGCGUGUGCGAUGAAGGCCUUCGGGUUGUAAAGCACUUUUGGCAGGAAAGAAACGUCGCGGGUUAAUACCCCGCGAAACUGACGGUACCUGCAGAAUAAGCACCGGCUAACUACGUGCCAGCAGCCGCGGUAAUACGUAGGGUGCAAGCGUUAAUCGGAAUUACUGGGCGUAAAGCGUGCGCAGGCGGUUCGGAAAGAAAGAUGUGAAAUCCCAGAGCUUAACUUUGGAACUGCAUUUUUAACUACCGGGCUAGAGUGUGUCAGAGGGAGGUGGAAUUCCGCGUGUAGCAGUGAAAUGCGUAGAUAUGCGGAGGAACACCGAUGGCGAAGGCAGCCUCCUGGGAUAACACUGACGCUCAUGCACGAAAGCGUGGGGAGCAAACAGGAUUAGAUACCCUGGUAGUCCACGCCCCUAAACGAUGUCAACUAGCUGUUGGGGCCUUCGGGCCUUGGUAGCGCAGCUAACGCGUGAAG
rnacentral:rRNA from 1 species